rfam:Thielaviopsis punctulata NODE_37, whole genome shotgun sequence.
AAGGAAGUGAGAAAUUGGCAAACUGAGGUAAUUUAGGUUUAUCUGAUCGAGAGAUCUUGCAGGUUCAAGUCCUGUCUUCCUUA